UUUAAAUAACAUCAAACAAAUGAGCAUUGUAAUUGAAGUUUGCGAUAAUCAACUGGUUCGUUGGUUCGCUAUAAUGGAGUGAAACAGGAUGUCUUAGACCAUCAUCUGUUGUCAACACUUCUCUAUGUCGUUGUCCAUCAGGGGAGAUAACUACCACAUUGUUUGACGAGAACCCCACCACGUACACGUUGCCAUCAUUAUCCACAUCUAUACCUCAGGGAUUCUUUAGAACGCUUUUAUUUAAGAAUAUCCAUUGUAUUUUACCUUGUUGAUUAUAACAUGUUACAGUGCUUGUUUCUCUGUUUGUAUGAUAUAUUUUGUCCGUAACUGUUGCAGUGUAACAGUCACUGGGCAUUUUGUCUCGGACUAUGUCACUUAUCGACUCGUCGUUGAGGUCGAUCAUUCGUAUUCCUUUGUCGCAACCGGAAUAAAUCAAUUGAUUAUUGUUCAGUGCUAUACCAUAACUUUUGGAAUCUAGUGAAAUUGUUUUCUUGAUUUGUUUCUUCUCCAAGUCUAUAAUGGUAAUAAACGCCUUCACUGAACUACCAGAUGUGACAGCCAAUGCAUU
rnacentral:lncRNA from 1 species